ensembl:misc_RNA 7SK 7SK RNA
GGAUGUGAGGGCGAUCUGGCUGCGACAUCUGUCACCCCAUUGAUCACCAGGGUUGAUUCGGCUGAUCUGGCUGGCUAGGUGGGUGUCCCCUUCCUCCCUCACCGCUCCAUGUGCGUCCCUCCCGAAGCUGCGCGCUCAGUCGAAGAGGACGACCAUCCCCGAUAGAGGAGGACAGGUCUUCGGUCAAGGGUAUACAAGUAGCUGCGCUCCCCUGCUAGAACCUCCAAACAAGCUCUCAAGGUCAAAGGGAAUUUCUACCUUGGGGCCAGUGUAGUUCAAGGUUGGGCUGAUGAUCUUACGCUAAUUUCCAGUUUUCUCUCCAUCUAUGUGUACUUUAUAACCUUUAAAAUGUAUGAGAUG